rnacentral:rRNA from 1 species
UACGGGGGAGCAAGCGUUGUUCGGAUUUACUGGGCGUAAAGGGCGCGUAGGCGGCCAGCACAAGUCAGUUGUGAAAUCUCCGAGCUUAACUCGGAAAGGUCAACUGAUACUGUGCGGCUAGAGUGCGGAAGGGGCAACUGGAAUUCUUGGUGUAGCGGUGAAAUGCGUAGAUAUCUGGAGGAACACCGGUGGCGAAGGCGGGUUGCUGGGCUGACACUGACGUGAUGCGCGAAAGCCAGGGGAGCGAACGG